CCUACGGGAGGCUGCAGUGGGGAAUAUUGGACAAUGGGCGAAAGCCUGAUCCAGCCAUGCCGCGUGUGUGAAGAAGGCCUUCGGGUUGUAAAGCACUUUCAGUGGGGAAGAAAGCCUUGGGGCUAAUACCCUCGAGGAAGGACAUCACCCACAGAAGAAGCACCGGCUAACUCCGUGCCAGCAGCCGCGGUAAUACGGAGGGUGCGAGCGUUAAUCGGAAUUACUGGGCGUAAAGCGCGCGUAGGCGGUCUGAUAAGCCGGUUGUGAAAGCCCCGGGCUCAACCUGGGAACGGCAUCCGGAACUGCCAGGCUAGAGUGCAGGAGAGGAAGGUAGAAUUCCCGGUGUAGCGGUGAAAUGCGUAGAGAUCGGGAGGAAUACCAGUGGCGAAGGCGGCCUUCUGGACUGACACUGACGCUGAGGUGCGAAAGCGUGGGUAGCAAACAGGAUUAGAUACCCCAGUAGUC
rnacentral:rRNA from 1 species